rnacentral:pre_miRNA from 8 species
CAGAUGCUGGUUUCACAUGGUGGUUUAGAUGUGUUCUACCAAAGUCUAGCACCAUUUGAAAUCAGUGUUCU